rnacentral:lncRNA from 1 species
GCUAAUGAACUUUCAUAACUAAAUAACUUCUUUAUUAGCAUCAAAUAUCGUAAAGAACUCCGUAUUGUAAAUAAAACUGACUACUAAAUACUGUAUGGAAUAUUUCCAGCAUGUCGCUCAUCUUUUUAGGAUAAAAAUACAAUCUGACACAACUUUGUCAUUCCCUUUCGACUAGAAAUUAGAAUCAGUAUUCCACAAAUUUUAAGUCAGAUUCUCCAUAAAC